rnacentral:rRNA from 1 species
UACGAAGGGGGCUAGCGUUGUUCGGAAUUACUGGGCGUAAAGCGCAGCGUAGGCGUUCUUUAAGUCAGGGGUGAAAUCCUGGAGCUCAACUCCAGAACUGCCUUUGAUACUGGGAAGCUUGAGUCCGGAAGAGGUGAGUGGAACUCCGAGUGUAGAGGUGAAAUUCGUAGAUAUUCGGAAGAACACCAGUGGCGAAGGCGGCUCACUGGUCCGGUACUGACGCUGAGGCACGAAAGCGUGGGGAGCAAACAGG